CACUGGAGUCAGGAGCUCCAGGCAGGUGGAAACCUGGCAGCCUGAUACCUCCCUCAGCUGCAACAUUCACUUUCUGUCUGGAGCUUCCAAGAGCCUUAGAGGAGAAGACUUGAAGAAACCUGUCUGGUGAUGCUACUUCCAGGAGUUCCCACCCCUACAAAGCACACCUGACAGAGGACGAAGAAAGUGGAUACAUCCUGAGGUUGCUUCUGUUAGGGGAUUUGGUCAUGGAGAUGAGAAGUAAGCCAUGCACAGUCCACAGAGAUGUCUCGGGAAGAUGCUGGGCUUGGGCAUGGUCACGUCUGGAAGAUCAUGGAGUACAGAAAGGCAUACCCUUGGGAGAAGGCAGGGAAGGGAUGUCAAGAAACAAGUCCACUGUGCAAAGCUAUUGUCUCUUCUGCCCCCACCACAAAACUUGCCAAAGUCUACCUUGUGUACAGAUGCCCCAGGAGUAGAUUUUCCUAUCAUAGAAAUGAGAACUUCCGCCAGAGUUAGCAAAAGACUUUAAAGGAAGCUGCGGAGACAGUCCAGAGUGGCCUCACCUCAGAACAGGAACCAUCUAAAAGGGGUAGCAGCUUCAAAAGCCACCAUGCCACAAUGACUACUGGAAGCAACAAAGGAGACUUAACUACAAAGCCCUGGGAGAAACAAGUCCCUCCUCCUGCUCCCAGCACCAGACUCCAGAGUCUUCCCUGUGUCGCCUCUAAACUCCAGUGACCUCCCUUGCUCUCUCCAAAUUACUGACACCCUUCCUUCAUGAACGCGUACGUUUUCACAGCUGCUCCCAUGUCUAACCACCCUCCGAAUGCCAUUAGCACCACAGAUGGACAAGGAAAUGGCUGUGAA